GCAUUGGUGGUGUAGCGGUAACAUUGGGUCUUCCCAUGGCCUAGCUCCGGGUUCGACUCCCGGCCAAUGCA